rnacentral:lncRNA from 1 species
GUACAGGCUUGGGCCUACUGCAGUCGUGUGGCAACGCGUAGGUAAGAAUGGCAAGGUGAGUGUGUCUCGACACAACAAGAGGCAACACUACGGUUCAUAUAAACCUGGGAUCUUUAUUGAGAGAGAGCUAAAUCAUCACAAUUAUGUUGGAGGAUAAAUACCUGUAAUAUGUAUGGAUAUAAAAUCAGGUAUGCUGCGGCAAGAUAUAAACAAUGGUAGAGUUGACAAUCGACAAUUGGUUGAGAAAUUCACAGUCUUUAGUCCUGAUCACAAACACUGAAAUAGCACCACUCCUGAUGGAAAAAUUCCACUUCUCCUUGAUGGUGCUGUUCUUCUCGCAGCACUUCGAUACACUAUCGGGAUGUCGGAGGUCUUCUUGGGAAGUUUGCGGGGACGACCGAUUUUCUCCGUUAUUUCUUUCUGGCUCCUUCUUGUGUGCGAUCUUUCUCCUCUUCG